UGAUUUGCCAAAAUAAAUGAAAAGUUAACAUAGGUUGAUGAACUGAGCAUAUUAUUAAAUUUUAGAAAAUGGCAUUCAAUAAUAAAUAUCUAUAACAAUUCAAUUUCAGAUUUUCAAAGUAUUUUUAGUUUCUAUAUGACAAAAAUAUGCACAUCUUCAUCCUAAGUCUGAUAUAUUCUCUGCUACUCUUUUGCUACUGCUUUCUUUAUCUUAACGUAGACUUCUAGUGGAUAUUUUCAUUCAGUAC
rnacentral:lncRNA from 1 species